GCACUGCUGAGGAGUCCCACAAUAGUAUGAAACGGCCGUCCAGUGC
rfam:Schistosoma curassoni strain Dakar, Senegal genome assembly, scaffold: SCTD_scaffold0003427